UUCUGAAGAAACCGAAGCCUAUUUGCCAUCAGCGAGGUAUAGAGUUCCUACGUGCCACUUAAACUAGUCGUAGGAACUUAAUACCGUGCUCUUGGAGGGCUGUCGACCAUCAUGAAAGUGUA
rnacentral:pre_miRNA from 15 species